rnacentral:rRNA from 1 species
GACGAACGCUGGCGGCGUGCUUAACACAUGCAAGUCGAGCGGAGCGGCGAACGGGUGAGUAACGCGUGAGUAACUGCCCCCCUCUCUGGGCUAACAGUUGGAAACGGCUGCUAAUACCGGAUAGUGGGGGAUGACUCGCGUCCUAUCAGCUUGUUGGUGGGGUAGUGGCCUACCAAGGCGACGACGGGUAGCCGGCCUGAGAGGGCGACCGGCCACAUUGGGCUGAGAUACGGGCCAAACUCCUACGUGAGGCAGCAGGGGGGAAUAUUGAGAAAUCGGGGAAACUGUGAUGCAGCAACGCCGCGGGCGGGAUGACGGCCUUCGGGUUGUAAACCGCUGUCAGCCAUGACGCGGUAGUGGCAGGAGAAGCACCGGAUAACUACGUGCCAGCAGCCGGGGUAAUUC